CGGACGGGUAAGUAAAGCAUAGGAAUCUACCCAGUAGUGGGGGAUAACGUGGAGAAAUUCACGCUAAUACCGCAUAUGUCCUACGGGACAAAGCAGGGGACCUUCGGGCCUUGCGCUAUUGGAUGAGCCUAUGUCGGAUUAGCUAGUUGGUAGGGUAAAAAGCCUACCAAGGCGACGAUCCGUAGCUGGUCUGAGAGGAUGAUCAGCCACACUGGAACUGAGACACGGUCCAG
rnacentral:rRNA from 1 species